rnacentral:rRNA from 1 species
UACGGAGGAUCCAAGCGUUAUCCGGAAUCAUUGGGUUUAAAGGGUCCGUAGGCGGUUUAAUAAGUCAGUGGUGAAAGCCCAUCGCUCAACGGUGAAACGGCCAUUGAUACUGUUAAACUUGAAUUAUUUAGGAAGUAACUAGAAUAUGUAGUGUAGCGGUGAAAUGCUUAGAGAUUACAUGGAAUACCAAUUGCGAAGGCAGGUUACUACUAAUGGAUUGACGCUGAUGGACGAAAGCGUGGUAGCGAACAGG